rnacentral:rRNA from 1 species
AGAGUUUGUAUCCUGGCUCAGGACGAACGCUGGCGGCACGCUUAACACAUGCAAGUCGAACGGACUUGAGAGGGCUUGCUCUCUAAGUUAGUGGCGACGGGUGAGUAACACGUGAGCAACCUGCCUUUAAGAGUGGGAUAACGGUCGGAAACGACCGCUAAUACCGCAUAACAUACACGAACCGCAUGGUUUGUGUAUCAAAGAUUUAUCGCUUAAAGAUGGGCUCGCGUCUGAUUAGCUUGUUGGUGAGGUAACGGCUCACCAAGGCGACGAUCAGUAGCCGUACUGAGAGGUAGAACGGCCACAUUGGGACUGAGACACGGCCCAGACUCCUACGGGAGGCAGCAGUGGGGAAUAUUGCACAAUGGAGGAAACUCUGAUGCAGCGAUGCCGCGUGAGGGAAGAAGGUUUUCGGAUUGUAAACCUCUGUCUUAAGGGACGAUAAUGACGGUACCUUAGGGGGAAGCUCCGGCUAACUACGUG